rnacentral:rRNA from 1 species
UACGUAGGGUGCGAGCGUUGUCCGGAAUUACUGGGCGUAAAGAGCUCGUAGGUGGUUUGUCGCGUUGUUCGUGAAAACUCACAGCUCAACUGUGGGCGUGCGGGCGAUACGGGCAGACUGGAGUACUGCAGGGGAGACUGGAAUUCCAGGUGUAGCGGUGAAAUGCGUAGAUAUCUGGAGGAACACCGGUGGCGAAGGCGGCAUCCUGGACCGGCAUUGACGCUGAGGCGCGAAAGCUAGGGGAGCAAACGGG